GUCGAAUCUGGUUCGGGUCAAUAUUACCAGGGAUCAGUAACACUGUCUUGGGACUUCAUUACAGCCCCAUAACCGAUCCUAUUGGACUAUCAGUGUCUGAUCUAUCUCUAUUCUCAUGGUUUCAGCGAUGACUCAUGAUCUGCUUGCAAACUAUCUUUAUUUACUGUAAGCCAAGGGGUCUCCCAUAAUGUGCUACCGACUCACACAGACCCAUCGUGUCCCUACCCUGAUGAGAGCGCCCUCGCCGGGACCAUACCGUAUUCAUAAAGGGACAAAAGCUAGGGACCUGGCAUUCAAAACGGGAAAUCGAGACGUCUUAAGAUGGAGUGUCCACGCUGCUCUCCAGGGCCGGGAGGCUGGGAAAGGCAGCAGCCUGGUGUUCUCACAUUCAGUCCAG
ensembl:lncRNA